rnacentral:rRNA from 1 species
AUUGAACGCUGGCGGCAGGCUUAACACAUGCAAGUCGAGCGGUAACAGAGAGAAGCUUGCUUCUCUGCUGACGAGCGGCGGACGGGUGAGUAAUGCCUAGGAAUCUGCCUAGUAGUGGGGGAUAACUUGCCGAAAGGUAAGCUAAUACCGCAUACGUCCUACGGGAGAAAGGAGGGGACCUUCGGGCCUUUCGCUAUUAGAUGAGCCUAGGUCGGAUUAGUUAGUUGGUGAGGUAAUGGCUCACCAAGACCGCGAUCCGUAACUGGUCUGAGAGGAUGAUCAGUCACACUGGAACUGAGACACGGUCCAGACUCCUACGGGAGGCAGCAGUGGGGAAUAUUGGACAAUGGGGGGAACCCUGAUCCAGCCAUGCCGCGUGUGUGAAGAAGGUCUUAGGAUUGUAAAGCACUUUAAGUUGGGAGGAAGAGCAGUUAACUAAUAUUUGACUGUCUUGACGUUACCGACAGAAUAAGCACCGGCUAACUUCGUG